GAUGAACGCUGGCGGCGUGCCUAAUACAUGCAAGUCGAGCGACCAGACGAGGAGCUUGCUCCUCUGACGUUAGCGGCGGACGGGUGAGUAACACGUGGAUAACCUACCUAUAAGACUGGGAUAACUUCGGGAAACCGGAGCUAAUACCGGAGAAUAUAUUGAACCACAGGGUUCAAUAGUGAAAGACGGCUUUGGUGUCACCUAUAGAUGGAUCCGCGCCGCAUUAGCUAGUUGGUAGGGUAACGGCUUACCAAGGCAACGAUGCGUAGCCGAUCUGAGAGGAUGAUCGGCCACACUGGAACUGAGACACGGUCCAGACUCCUACGGGAGGCAGCAGUAGGGAAUCUUCCGCAAUGGGCGAAAGCCUGACGGAGCAACGCCGCGUGAGUGAUGAAGGUCUUCGGAUCGUAAAGCUCUGUUAUUAGGAAAGAACAAAUGUGUAAGUAACUAUGCACGUCUUGACGGUACCUAAUCAGAAAGCCCCGGCUAACUACGUG
rnacentral:rRNA from 1 species